AUGGACCCUGAACUGCAAACAAGAGCUGCAUGAUGGGUUAUGCUUUUCGACACUGAUGGACAAGCAUACCAACCAUCCAUAACCAAACGUAUCUCCCUCUUCUUACGUGCUCUCAAUAGCCACUUAUCUCCAGAUUCCUUUCUAGAAUUUCUUUCUUCCACAACAGAAACUGAUGCUAUCAACAUACUUCAAUAUUAGUUAUAGUAUUAUUGAAUCUGAUGCUUAGUCUAAUCAAGAAUAGUACUGGUUCCUGGACUAGAUGCCCAUAUACUUCUUUGCGGCGAAACAAAGGUGAUCUCAAGUAAUUUUUUUCAGUACAGAAGAUGGUACAAGAAAAACGUAAUAGGAAUUAAAUUUAAGAAAAAUAUUCAAGAAAUUCAUGCAGUCGUUUUCAAUAGAUCAAGCAUAGGCAGGUAUGAGAGGCUUUCCGUAACUGGAACAUCAUAUGCAUCACCAAACUUCUUUUCUGCACAGCACAAAUAUACAGAGAGUUCACUAUUUUGCCCCUUCACGGAUCUUUGAGUUUAAAUUGGUUCAUCUUGGCAAGCAAAACAAUUAUUCUAGGUAAUUCCUUCUUUACUAAUUGAAAUAAUUCUUUGACAUAGAAAAAAAUGAGAAAGAAAGCAAUUAAUCACUGCUCCUCAAACUUAAGCAAAAGCCAACCAGCUCUCUCCUCUAGAAAUUAGGAAUCAUUUUUCAAAUAAUAAUGGAAAUACAAUGUCCAAAAUAUUUGCUUCAUCAUAAGUAUCCAUAUAGUUUGAGGACAACCAAUUUUCAGGCUUUCAUACAUGUUAGGAAUAUAUGUUAUUUCAUUGCCAGAUAACAUAAGUGAACCUUAUAUUGCAGCUUGGUUGUUUUCCACAGGUCCAUAGAUAUCUAAUACUGAAUGCUGAACACCAUAUUAUAUGAUAAGAUGGGCUAACCUCUUUUUAA
rnacentral:lncRNA from 1 species